UGGCUCAGGAUGAACGCUGGCGGCGUGCCUAAUACAUGCAAGUCGAACGCACAGCGAAAGGUGCUUGCACCUUUCAAGUGAGUGGCGAACGGGUGAGUAACACGUGGACAACCUGCCUCAAGGCUGGGGAUAACAUUUGGAAACAGAUGCUAAUACCGAAUAAAACUUAGUGUCGCAUGACAAAAAGUUAAAAGGCGCUUCGGCGUCACCUAGAGAUGGAUCCGCGGUGCAUUAGUUAGUUGGUGGGGUAAAGGCCUACCAAGACAAUGAUGCAUAGCCGAGUUGAGAGACUGAUCGGCCACAUUGGGACUGAGACACGGCCCAAACUCCUACGGGAGGCUGCAGUAGGGAAUCUUCCACAAUGGGCGAAAGCCUGAUGGAGCAACGCCGCGUGUGUGAUGAAGGCUUUCGGGUCGUAAAGCACUGUUGUAUGGGAAGAACAGCUAGAAUAGGAAAUGAUUUUAGUUUGACGGUACCAUACCAGAAAGGGACGGCUAAAUACGUGCCAGCAGCCGCGGUAAUACGUAUGUCCCGAGCGUUAUCCGGAUUUAUUGGGCGUAAAGCGAGCGCAGACGGUUUAUUAAGUCUGAUGUGAAAGCCCGGAGCUCAACUCCGGAAUGGCAUUGGAAACUGGUUAACUUGAGUGCAGUAGAGGUAAGUGGAACUCCAUGUGUAGCGGUGGAAUGCGUAGAUAUAUGGAAGAACACCAGUGGCGAAGGCGGCUUACUGG
rnacentral:rRNA from 1 species